rnacentral:rRNA from 1 species
AACGUAGGAGACAAACGUUAUCCGGAGUUACUGGGCGUAAAGGGCGUGUAGGUGGUUUCGUAAGUCUGGCGUGAAAUUUUUCGGCUUAACCGGGAAAGGUCGUCGGAUACUGCGGAACUAGAGGACGGUAGAGGCGUGUGGAAUUCCAGGUGUAGCGGUGAAAUGCGUAGAUAUCUGGAGGAACACCGGUGGCGAAGGCGGCAUCCUGGACCAACACUGACACUGAGGAGCGAAAGCCAGGGGAGCAAACGGG